GACGAACGCUGGCGGCGUGCUUAACACAUGCAAGUCGAACGAAGUGGCGCACGGGUGAGUAACGCGUAAUCAACCUGCCCUUCAGAGGGGGACAACAGUUGGAAACGACUGCUAAUACCGCAUACUGAAGGAGGGGAUUGCGUGGGCUUAGUUAGUUGGGGGGGUAAAGGCCCACCAAGGCGAUGAUCAGUAGCCGGGUCUGGAGGAUGAACGGCCAACUUGGGACUGAGACACGGCCCAGACUCCUACGGGGGGCAGCAGUUGGGAAUCUUCCGAAAUGGACGAAAGUCUGACGGAGCAACGCCGCGUGAGUGAUGACGGCCUUCGGGUUGUAAAGCUCUGUUAAUCGGGACGCGGUACCGGAAUAGAAAGCCACGGCUAACUACGUGCCAGCCGCCGCGGUAAUUC
rnacentral:rRNA from 1 species